rnacentral:rRNA from 1 species
CAGUCGCCACGGUAAUACGUAGGGUGCGAGCGUUAAUCGGAAUUACUGAGCGUAAAGCGCACGUAGGCGGACCUUUAAGUCAGGGGUGAAAUCCCGGGGCUCAACCCCGGAACUGCCUUUGAUACUGGAAGUCUUGAGUAUGGUAGAGGUGAGUGGAAUUCCGAGUGUAGAGGUGAAAUUCGUAGAUAUUCGGAGGAACACCAGUGGCGAAGGCGGCUCACUGGACCAUUACUGACGCUGAGGUGCGAAAGCGUGGGGAGCAAACAGGAUUAGAUACCCCCGUAGUCCCUGUCUCUUAUAC